UCCGGUAUACAACGUGUGUCUCGUUUCCCUGGAUAUUUUGGCGUUGUUCACUUCGUUUUAUACACCUGCAUGUUUACACCCGGCAGACAGAUGAAAAUUUGAUUCAUUAAGGAGUUUUGACUAUCUUUGCACGGUGCUAUUUCAUCAAGAAGCUACCAUGUUUCUGACAUGUAUCCAGAUGGCAAAGACCAAAAGCAAGUCAAUUCUUGUCAUGUUGGAAAGUGCAGCUGGAACUGGUUCCAAACUGUUUUACAGGAGAAACAGACUCAAAGAAAAAUAUAUCCUGAGAAAAUUUGAUAAGCGAUUGGGAAGACACGCAAUAUUUAUUGAAAAGAAAAAGAUCAAGUCAAUGUGAUAGACAGCUGAAAGUUUUAGAUAUUUAUUUGCAGUAUUUUGUCUUAUCAGAAGUGUGGAUGAAUAUCAGUGUUCCAACUGUUUCAUGGGAAGCCUUUGCUUCCUGCUUAAGCAUAGGCACAAUAACAACUGAACCACUCUCAAUACAGAAAAAAUCAUUAUAUAAAUUGUUUUUAAAUUGAAUAAAACAUAAAAACCGUUUUUGUUAAAAGAGAUAAA